CCUACGGGAGGCUGCAGUCGAGAAUCAUUCACAAUGGGGGAAACCCUGAUGGUGCGACGCCGCGUGGGGGAAUGAAGGUCUUCGGAUUGUAAACCCCUGUCAUGUGGGAGCAAAUUAAAAAGAUAGUACCACACGAGGAAGAGACGGCUAACUCUGUGCCAGCAGCCGCGGUAAUACAGAGGUCUCAAGCGUUGUUCGGAAGCACUGGGCGUAAAGGGUGCGUAGGCGGUUUCGUAAGUCGUGUGUGAAAGGUGCGGGCUCAACCCGCGGACGGCACAUGAUACUGGGAGACUAGAGUAAAGGAGGGGGAGGCGGAAUGCUCGGUGUAGCAGUGAAAUGCGUAGAGAUCG
rnacentral:rRNA from 1 species